rnacentral:tRNA from 1 species
AUAGCCUUAGCUUAAUUAUAUAAAGUUCAAGUUUGUCGUACUUGGGAUGCGUUUCACGCAGGCUAUU